GACUGCACCAGUGAGAGGACAGAGCUCCCAGGAUUGCUCAGCUGUUAAGGGACUCUCAUUCCUCCUGACCUACACCUUUUGGUGUAAAUGUCAUCCAGGUUUUGGAGGGUGGAUUUGACGGACUUGACUACUCUUCUGCGGUCAGAAAGGUCAUCGACAUUUGCACAGAGAUGACCGAGAGAGGCUUUCUCAACCAAGACACCGCGGCUGCCCUCUGCUAAACUGCUUCGGUCAACAACACGUUCUUGUCUUUGUUUCAGAAUGCAGUUCCAGUGCUCAAACAAGAUGAGCAUAGUUAAAAGGAGGACCCAGCAGUAGCAGGCAUGACCAGAAGACUAUGGUACAAUGAUGCGAGCGAGAAUUCUCCCUGGCUUAAGGAGUACAUUGUUACUGCUUACUGAUUGACUUAAGGGCACAUCUUCAACAUACUACUGGAUACCUUUCCAAACUGUCUCAACAGUCAUCAUUGAUUUAGAACAAACCAGACCACAGAGCUCUAACAUUAGGCUAGUCUGCUGUAAUUCCGUUUCUGGCCAGCAGGGGAGCUCUAACACCAGGCUAUUCGGCUGCAAUUCCUAUUUUUGGCCAGCCAGAGGAGCUCUAACCCCAGGCUAUUCUGCUGCCAUUCCUAUAUUUGGCCAGCUGGGGAGCCCUAAUGGCAGGCUAUUCUGCUGCAAUUCCUUCCUGGACUGCUGGGGGAGCUCUAAAACCAGGCUAUUUUUCUGUACAUUGUCACUGGUUACUGCUAGACUUAAGGCACAUCUUCAACAUACUCCUGAAUACAUUACUAAACUGUCUCAACAGUCAACAUUAACUCACAAGUGUAAUACAUCUUAUCACUCACCAGGCCAUGCUUGUCAUGGAAGAUACAUAAUAUGCCUAAACAUUGACAGCAAAAUAAGUCACUCAUGCUAAUAACACUUGAGAAUAUAAAUAAAUAAAUGAAUGUACACAGAGAAAAGUAGUAGGUCCUCGACAAGUUCCGGUGCGAUUUAACUUGAGAUUUCGGAAGCGUCAGUCUUACGUUGGAGAAAGCAAAUGUAGCAUAUCCAACGUAUGGCGUACAACCUGUGAAUGUAAACAUAUACUGCUGCUUGCCAACAAGUUUGUUUUGAGCGCUUGUAUCAUUUACAAAGUGUAUUUACAGUUUUUAUGUUCUUGUCAUGUUUCUCAUCUAGGAUACUGGCACAUUUAACAUGUUUCUAAUUAUUAUGAUGCUGAUUAAAAAUCUUGGAAGUGAAAAGAAAAAGAAAAAAAAAACACUAAAAAAGUCAGUCCAGCUGCCAAAAGGAAUUGCUUUUGUACUUGAAUGGUAAAUGGAGCGGUUGACCUCAGCUUUCCCAGUGAAUCAAGACCCAACGACUACAACAAUUACACUUCACUACUUAUGCACCUGCAUGCAUCUGUCCAUUAUAAACUGCACAUCUUUGGGAAAAGCUGCAGUAAAUUAAGUGUUAAAACUAGCCCAGAAGCAGUCUUCCGUUUUACCACGUAAUUUAUUUUUGGUAUUUGUUACCAUUAAAAUGCCACAUCCAACGUCUGCUGUUCCAACCCUAUACGCUUAAGACUGGAUUAUUUGAGACUCUAAUUUUGGUUAAAAAACACCCCUUUGAAACAAAGAUGUAAACCAACACCUUGCAUUCUGAUCGUGUUAUUAAUUAUAUUUUAAUUAUAGGUGAUUUUUUUUUUUAAUUAAAUUAUUUGAGUGUGUAAUCAGGCUGCUAAACUAAAACUGAGGCUGUAACGUUGUCCAAUGAUUUCAACUUUUUUAUUUCAUGAUUAACUAUCAGUGCUAAUAUACUGUAUAGAAAUCGUUGCUGGACAUUAAAUAGGCUUUUUUUAAAAAAUAAUUCUAAUUAAUUUCAGUUCUAAUGUGACGCUCGGGUCUUAUUGUGCUCUGUUACUAGAGUGAAUACUGCUUACAGCUGCGAUGGAGAGUAAAGUUUCGGGGGGACUGUGCUGGGAUAAAUGCGAUGGCCGGAGCUGGCCAUGAUGACUUUGGCACUGUCACGCCAAGGUCUUCAGUCUAACUCUGCUGUAAUGAGCCUGUCACCACAGUGUGAGCCAUAAGAGAUAGGCUGGCCCCUAUCAACCUGGUCCACAGCGCCACAGUCAAGGAUGAGUAGUUCUCUCUCUCUCUCUCUCUCUAUGUGUGUGUGUGUAUAAGUGUAUUUAAAAUGGAAUUAUUUAUAGCCCGAUUUUGUAUUCUCAGGAAUCCUGGUUCCAUCUGUGGUGUUUGAAGGCCGACUGAAAUACUAUAAUCCUACUGUCUACCGAGCCUCAGUUUAAGUCAACUCUUAUCCCUCACCUAGAAUAAGCACAUUUCAAACGAUGCCAAACAAUUGCUUGAAUCUCCUUAAAUUAUUAUUUGAAGGCCACGCACAAACAGUGCGAGAUUUUUUUCUUCCCAUUUUGUAUUUCAAUUUAAAUCAUUGUAUAUGUAUCAAUCGAAAAAGUAUUCAAUCAAUGUAAUGUUAUAAAUAGCUAAAUAUUGAAAUUCUAACCACAUUUCAUGUUUGAAUGUACACUCUGUGUUGUCACGUUGAGGUCUUCCAGCUUUUCCAGCUCCUCUGCACCCACCCACACUUUGCACAGCUAUAUUUACUUGUCGUUGCACUUCUCUGUUGGUUUUACUGACUUUGUUAGGAACGAGUGUUUACUCUUAUAAAGAAGGAAAUAAAAACUUUAAAGUAAAAAUGCAAUAAAAUUGUAUACAAGUAUUCUUUUCAAAAGCUUUGUUAUAAAACAAAGAAGAGUGGCAGUGCUUCUAUAAUUUUCUUUUGACCAGCUGGGGGAGCUCUAACAUUAGGCUAUUCUGCUGAAAUUCCCAUUUUUGGCCAGCUGGGCAGUGCUAACGAAAGGGUAUUCUGAUGCAAUUCCUACUUUUGGCCAGGUGGGGAGCGCUAACACUAGGGUAUUCUGCUGCAAUUCCUACUUUUGGCCAGCUAGGGGCGCUAACAUCAAGCUAUUCGGCUGCAAUUCCUUUUUUUAGUCAACUUGAGGAGCUUUAAGGCUAGGCUAAUCGGCUACCAUUCCAUUCAAGACAGCUGGAAGAACUUUUAAACCAGGCUGUUUUGCUGUGAUUCCUUUUUUUUAGUCAACUACAGGAGCUCUAAGGCCAGGCUAUUCGGUUAGCAUUACUUUUCAGACAGUUGGAGGAGCUCUAACACCAGGCUAAUCUGCUGCAAUUAAUUUUCUUGACCAGCUGGGGGAGCUUUGACACCCAAUUUCUACAUGAAGUUAUGUGAGUUCAGUACCCGUGGCUUUUGCCUUAUUCUAAAACAGUCAGAAACCUAGCAAGGAUUUGAUUGUCAGUCAGGUGAGGUUGAGUAGGCACAGGAC